rnacentral:rRNA from 1 species
AACGCACCUUGCGCUCCCUGGUAUUCCGAGGAGCAUGCCUGUUUGAGUGUCAUCGAAAUCUCGAACCGACGCCUUCGAUCCGUUCGAAGCUCGGUCUCGGAACGUGGGGGUCUGCGGGCGGCGACGUCGGCUCCCCUCAAACGCAUUAGCUGUGGGCGCGAGCCCUGCGUGGCACGGCCUCCUCGACGUCGUAACGAUCGUCGUGGGCUGGAAGCGCACGGAUCGGCAAUCCCAUGCUUUCCAACCCCCUCGCGGGACGACCGCGAGCCUCGAAGCUUGACCUCAAAUCAGGUAGGACUACCCGCCGAACUUAA